GGAUUGAACAGAGUUGUCGGGACUCAUUAGACAGCACUGUUUGCGACCAUGGGUGAGGUCGAAUUGUCCUUCCUAUCUCCUAUUCCUUGACCUCCGUAGAACGUCACGAGGUCAAGGAAGGUCAGGACAACUGAUAGGAAUUAGGAAAACGGUGCUCCGAGAAUCCGACUCGACUUUCACUAUACUACAUCAUCACGCGACUGCGGAUAUAUUUGAUGUGCGUCUGCCGUGGUGAAACUACAAAUUUCUGAAGAAGUACUACGAAGCAGGAUUUACGGUUAACGAGAUAACUUCAACUUUAACUCUGGGUUUUCCGUCCUACGAAGCCGUUUCUCUUCUUAUCGGCAUAAAUCACCGUGGUUACUUAUGCUGAACGGCUAACCUGCUCCAGAGCAGGUUAUGUUCCAGAUACGAGAUCGAAACCUGUCGACAGAACCACUACUGACCAAUCAAAUCACUGGAAACCAGCGUCAUCAUUCACAGGAUCCCAUCAGGAUCAGAGGAGUUUAGAGUAACGUGACAAAUAAUAAAGCAGAUAUUUAUGAAUGAGUAGAAUCAUGUUGCUGUUCCAGACUUUUCAUGUGUCCACUCUGAGCUUCUAAUAAACAGAGGGAAAGAUUAUCACACUAAAUAAAACCAUAGACACAUUAAUACUAGAGCUUAAUUAGAAUUCAACAAAGAGUGUUUGCGCUUCUAAUAAACACUUCGUAGUACAGGCCACUGGACCCUUCCGUCGUCUGCCCACUGGAUUUCCCUUUCCCACCAUUUGCAUACACAUCCCCAUUCCAUCAUACACCAUCACACUCGUCCCAGUGAGUCUCUUGCACACAUAUGUCCAUGUCUCCAGCUUGCAGUCCUCACUCCAUUUGCGUUUAGAGAUGUGCCUGUGAUCAUAAAGUAAGUCAGAGAAAAGAAAACUGAAAAUUAGUCUUUAUCAUGAUUAUCUUGUUUAGCUUGUUCUGCCUUCUUCUUCUUCUCCCUCAUCUCAGAGAGCCACCCGCCCAAAAGUCUCUUCCUUGUUCCCGCAUUCUCCUCCGUUCCCUCUUCCUCGCCUUCUGUCUGGUCAGAGUCUUUCCCUCCAUCCCUACUUUUUCCCUCUGCACUUGCUGGUUUGGGGCUCCCUUGUCCAGCACCUUCAGACCCUCCCAGUAGUUCUUGCUCCACCACCGCUCCCCUGCUGCUGUCUUCUUCCUUCUCUCGGUCCUUUUCUCCCUCAUUGGUCUCCGCCUCGUUGUCUCUCCGUCCUUCUGUUGUCCCUCUUCUUGCUCCCCAUGUUCCAUAUCAUCAGCCUCGCUCUCAUCCUCUUGUUCCUCCGAAUCCUGGGUGCCCCUCUUCUCCGCAUCUGUAGCUGGGGCAUUCUUUAAGAAUAUGCCCCGGUUGGAUGCAACGUGUCAUGAUGGUAUCAUGGCAGCCCUCCUCUCUCCCCCUUUUUGUUUCAUUGUUUGUUUUCCCCUGUGUGUUAUCCUGCAUGUUUCUCCCCUGCCCGGCGUCUGUCUGUGUGUUGGUGGGCGUGGCUUCUCCCUGCAGGUGGCGAUCACCACCAAUCAUUCCCCCUCAGUAUAAGAAGACCGGUCUGAGCACGUGAAAGCCGAGAAGUGCGACUCUCACGCCUCUGCAGUGACUUUUCACAUUGUUGGCUGAACUCCAAGGACUUUCCCCUCAAUGUUUCCUCUAAGAAACUCGCCCCCCCAUUUCAUUGGUCCAUAUGUAGUCGAGGCUGUGAUUAACCCCUGUGCUGUUCGCCUUAAGCUCCCUCCAGCCCUCAGGAUACACCCCACUUUCCACGUUUCUCAACUGAAACCAGUGCAGUCCAGCAGUUUAUGCCCUGCUACUGUCGUAUUGUGAUCCUGGCUCCAGUUACCUCUGUCAUUUCCCUGUGCAGAUUUCAAAAUUGUUUGGUCCCGUACUCCUGCAUGCCACAAUCUCUCCACACGUUUUGGCAGUUUCUUGUAGCAAUUCAGUCACCUUUUCUCCACCAGUUAUUUCAAUUCGAAGUGUUAAUUCUCUUUCAUACUUUAUCUUGUCAUCUCUUGGUUGUCUUUCCCUUUGCCCUGUCAUUUGUUCCCGUUCCGUUGUCAUCAGCCGUGUGCGGUCCAAAAGGAAACAUUUUGCAACCCCCCCCCCCCCCCACGCAGUGUGGCACUGCGAGGGGUGAAAGGUAAGAGAACUGAGAUUUUUAAGGGGGGUUAAAAAAACAAAAUCUCUGUCUGCUCCCUGCUCGCUCCCAACACUCCUGCACCUUGAUCGGCAAACGAGAUCGAGCGUGAACCAGGCGGUGUGGCCGCAAGCUUCCGUUCAGUCAAAAUCCAUGCUUUUUCAACAACUCAAACACAAAUCAGAUUUCAAAGAAGAAGAAAAAAACGCUCAUUGUCAAAUAUUUGGAUUAACAGCUUACAGCACCAAGUUUUCCCAGGCGGUCUCCCAUCCAAGUACUUACCAGGCCCAACCUAUCUUAACUUCCGAGAUCAAACAAGAUCAGAGAGUACAAUGGUCCACCUCACGUCAAACUCAAUCUGACAGUUUUAUUACCCACAAUAAACGCUGGUAUGUAAACCUAUUGCGAGUACUUUCAAUUUCUUUAGGAUAUUUGAUGUUUAUAGAGGACUAAAAACAAACAUUUUUCUACAGAGCAUAACAUGAUUACCUUCGGUACAGAGUUUGACAUCUUAGACACCGACUAUUCAGCGUCUGAGUUGUGGGAAAUUGAUCAAUUUGCCACACGGCAGCUAGAUCCGGAACAACAACAACCACAGCAGCAGACAUACUGUUACAUCCAGCCCCAUCAAUCUGUUAUCCCCCGACCCAGACAAGAUUCCUGAGGUGUACGGACUUCAGAGCUCCGAGGGUUCGACGCAGACGCCGAAUUGACCCGAGAGGCUCUUUACCCCCCAAUAAACCCCUCCCCCCACCCCUAGAUCUGGAACAAGUACAGCCGCAGACACUCUGUUACAUCCAGCCCCAUCAAUCUUUCAUCCCCCGACUCGGACGAGAUUCCUGAGGUGUACGGGUUGAACCAGCAGCAGCAGGACGGGCCUAUCGUUACAGAGGUGGAUCAGCAGAGGGACCAAACCGCCGUGCCAGUGGUUAUCGUGUUUCCCCAACCGACAGACCAGGCAGCCAUAGGCCCUCCGUCACCCCAGCUCUCCCCUCAUCACCAACAACCGUCUCUGGAGAGACAGCAAGCGGUCAAGAAGUGGAGGAUCUAACUCACCAUUCAGGGGUUGAGGGCUCAUCUGACUGCAGAGUUCCGAGGGUUCGACGCAGACGACGAUUUGAUCCGAGAGGAAGCUCACAGCAGAGGGCAAACUACUGUCCUAACUGCACUUUUAGCACAGAGAGGGAGCUUCUGAACCAGCAGAGGAACGAAGAGGUGCGACUUCUUAAUCAACAAAGGCACGAAGAGGCACUGAUUCAGCAUCAGAGGUUGUAUGAAGUGACCGGCUCUUUACUGCGUUUCAUGCAGCGUGCGAGACUUGAAUAGAUGCUGUACAGGGUUCUGUAAAAGAAGUGUUGUGUGAUUGGAACCUUUUUUCUGGUUUGAUUGUUAUUCUUUUAUGCUGUGUACAAUAGUUUUUCCGCAUCUGCU